rnacentral:rRNA from 1 species
UGGGGAAUAUUGCGCAAUGGGGGGAACCCUGACGCAGCAACGCCGCGUGAAGGAUGAAGGUUUUCGGAUUGUAAACUUCUUUGAUGAGGGACGAAAGAAAUGACGGUACCUCAAAAACAAGCCACGGCUAACUACGUGCCAGCAGCCGCGGUAAUACGUAGGUGGCGAGCGUUGUCCGGAAUUACUGGGUGUAAAGGGCGUGUAGGCGGGGAUGUAAGUCAGAUGUGAAAUACCGUGGCUUAAACUACGGGGCUGCAUCUGAAACUAUGUUUCUUGAGUGUCGGAGAGGAAAGUGGAAUUCCCAGUGUAGCGGUGAAAUGCGUAGAUAUUGGGAGGAACACCAGUGGCGAAGGCGACUUUCUGGACGAUAACUGACGCUGAGGCGCGAAAGCGUGGGGAGCAAACAGGAUUAGAUACCCUGGUAGUCCACGCUGUAAACGAUGGAUACUAGGUGUAGGAGGUAUCGACCCCUUCUGUGCCGGAGUUAACACAAUAAGUAUCCCCACCUGGGGGAGUACGGCCGCAAGGUUGAAACUCAAAUGAAUUGACGGGGUCAUAGCUGUUUCCUG